rnacentral:ncRNA from 2 species
AUUAAAUAAGACGAAAUACAUCGUAUAAUAUUGGGGAUAUGGCCCAAAAGUUUCUACCAAGCUACCUUAAAUGGCUUGACUACGAAGUACUAAUAAAUAGGU